UACGGAGGGAGCUAGCGUUGUUCGGAUAUACUGGGCGUAAAGCGCACGUAGGCGGCUUUGUAAGUCAGAGGUGAAAGCCUGGAGCUCAACUCCAGAACUGCCUUUGAGACUGCAUCGCUUGAAUCCAGGAGAGGUGAGUGGAAUUCCGAGUGUAGAGGUGAAAUUCGUAGAUAUUCGGAAGAACACCAGUGGCGAAGGCGGCUCACUGGACUGGUAUUGACGCUGAGGUGCGAAAGCGUGGGGAGCAAACAGG
rnacentral:rRNA from 1 species